rnacentral:lncRNA from 1 species
AGCGGGCGCUCCCCGCCCACCGGCGGCUGGGCUCUGGGGCUCUGCGCACUGACUUGGGGCCGGCCGCGGGCAGGCGGGCAUCUGGCGGCCGAGGCCGGGACUUCGGGGCCCCUCCCGGGCGAGUCGCGGGGCGGCGGCGGGAAGGGGCGCCGCACGGAGGAAGUGCCCUCUUGGCCGCAGCCAGAGCCGCGCCGCAGGUGCCGCGAUGUCGUCCUGGCCGGGGCGCGAGGAUGCGAGGGCUGGGGGCGCGUGGUGGCCGCGGGAGCCGCUGGAUCAGGAACUGCAGCGGGCCCGGGAGCAGAAGCGGCGGCGGCACGACGCCCAGCAGCUGCAGCAGCUCAAGCGCCUGGAGUCCUUAAAGGGUCUCACCUGUGGCCAGGAGCGGUGGCUCACGCCUGUAAUCCCAGCACUUUGAGAGGCCGCGGUGGACAGA